AUUGAACGCUGGCGGCAGGCCUAACACAUGCAAGUCGAGCGGAGGAAGGGAGCUUGCUCCUGGAUUCAGCGGCGGACGGGUAAGUAAUGCCUAGGAAUCUGCCUGGUAGUGGGGGAUAACGUCCGGAAACGGGCGCUAAUACCGCAUACGGCCUGAGGGAGGAAGUGGGGGAUCUUCGGACCUCACGCUAUCAGAUGAGCCUAGGUCGGAUUAGCUAGUUGGUGGGGUAAAGGCCUACCAAGGCGACGAUCCGUAACUGGUCUGAGAGGAUGAUCAGUCACACUGGAACGGAGACACGGUCCAGACUCCUACGGGAGGCAGCAGUGGGGAAUAUUGGACCAUGGGCGAAAGCCUGAUCCAGCCAUGCCGCGUGUGUGAAGAAGGUCUUCGGAUUGUAAAGCACUUUAAGUUGGGAGGAAGGGCAGUAAGUUAAUACCUUGCUGGUUUGACGUUACCAACAGAAUAAGCACCGGCUAACUUCGUG
rnacentral:rRNA from 1 species